rnacentral:rRNA from 1 species
UAGGGAAUCUUCCACAAUGGACGCAAGUCUGAUGGAGCAACGCCGCGUGAGUGAAGAAGGUUUUCGGAUCGUAAAGCUCUGUUGUUGGUGAAGAAGGAUAGAGGCAGUAACUGGUCUUUAUUUGACGGUAAUCAACCAGAAAGUCACGGCUAACUACGUGCCAGCAGCCGCGGUAAUACGUAGGUGGCAAGCGUUGUCCGGAUUUAUUGGGCGUAAAGCGAGCGCAGGCGGAAUGAUAAGUCUGAUGUGAAAGCCCACGGCUAAACCGUGGAACUGCAUCGGAAACUGUCAUUCUUGAGUGCAGAAGAGGAGAGUGGAAUUCCAUGUGUAGCGAUGGAAUGCGUAGAUAUAUGGAAGAACACCAGUGGCGAAGGCGGCUCUCUGGUCUGCAACUGACGCUGAGGCUCGAAAGAAUGGGUAGCGAACAGG